rnacentral:rRNA from 1 species
CCUACGGGUGGCAGCAGUGAGGAAUAUUGGUCAAUGGACGCAAGUCUGAACCAGCCAUGCCGCGUGCAGGAAGACGGCUCUAUGAGUUGUAAACUGCUUUUGUACGAGGGUAAACGCAGAUACGCGUAUCUGUCUGAAAGUAUCGUACGACUAAGGAUCGGCUAACUCCGUGCCAGCAGCCGCGGUAAUACGGAGGAUUCAAGCGUUAUCCGGAUUUAUUGGGUUUAAAGGGUGCGUAGGCGGUCGGAUAAGUUAGAGGUGAAAUCCCGAGGCUCAACUGCGGAAUUGCCUCUGAUACUGUUCGUCUAGAGAGUAGUUGCGGUAGGCGGAAUGUGGGGUGUAGCGGUGAAAUGCUUAGAGAUCAUACAGAACACCGAUUGCGAAGGCAGCUUACCAAGCUACUUCUGACGUUGAGGCACGAAAGCGUGGGGAGCAAACAGGAUUAGAUACCCGAGUAGUC